CCUACGGGGGGCAGCAGUCGAGAAUCAUUCACAAUGGGGGAAACCCUGAUGGUGCGACGCCGCGUGGGGGAAUGAAGGUCUUCGGAUUGUAAACCCCUGUCAUGUGGGAGCAAAUUAAAAAGAUAGUACCACAAGAGGAAGAGACGGCUAACUCUGUGCCAGCAGCCGCGGUAAUACAGAGGUCUCAAGCGUUGUUCGGAAUCACUGGGCGUAAAGUGUGCGUAGGCUGUUUCGUAAGUCGUGUGUGAAAGGCGCGGGCUCAACCCGCGGACGGCACAUGAUACUGCGAGACUAGAGUAAUGGAGGGGGAACCGGAAUUCUCGGUGUAGCAGUGAAAUGCGUAGAUAUCGAGAGGAACACUCGUGGCGAAGGCGGGUUCCUGGACAUUAACUGACGCUGAGGCACGAAGGCCAGGGGAGCGAAAGGGAUUAGAUACCCGAGUAGUC
rnacentral:rRNA from 1 species